GGAUGUGAGGGCGAUCUGGCUGCGACAUCUGUCACCCCAUUGAUCGCCAGGGUUGAUUCGGCUGAUCUGGCUGGCUAGGCGGGUGUCCCCUUCCUCCCUCACCGCUCCAUGUGUGUCCCUCCCGAAUCUGCGGCUUGGUUGAAGAGGAUGACCUUCCCCGAUAGAGGAGAGGACCGUUCUUCGGUCAAGGGUAUACGAGUAGCUGCGCUCCCCUGCUAGAACCUCCAAACAAGCUCUCAUAAUUCCUACAAUCAACUAAACCAUAGAGAAACACUCAUGUAAACCCUCAU
rnacentral:snRNA from 1 species